rnacentral:rRNA from 1 species
GCUUUUGAAAGGCGGCGUAAGCUGUCGCUAAGGGAUGGCCCCGCGGUGCAUUAGCUAGUUGGUAAGGUAACGGCUUACCAAGGCGACGAUGCAUAGCCGAGUUGAGAGACUGAUCGGCCACAUUGGGACUGAGACACGGCCCAAACUCCUACGGGAGGCAGCAGUAGGGAAUCUUCCACAAUGGACGCAAGUCUGAUGGAGCAACGCCGCGUGAGUGAAGAAGGUUUUCGGAUCGUAAAGCUCUGUUGUUGGUGAAGAAGGAUAGAGGUAGUAACUGGCCUUUAUUUGACGGUAAUCAACCAGAAAGUCACGGCUAACUACGUGCCAGCAGCCGCGGUAAUACGUAGGUGGCAAGCGUUGUCCGGAUUUAUUGGGCGUAAAGCGAGCGCAGGCGGAAAAAUAAGUCUAAUGUGAAAGCCCUCGGCUUAACCGAGGAACUGCAUCGGAAACUGUUUUUCUUGAGUGCAGAAGAGGAGAGUGGAACUCCAUGUGUAGCGGUGGAAUGCGUAGAUAUAUGGAAGAACACCAGUGGCGAAGGCGGCUCUCUGGUCUGCAACUGACGCUGAGGCUCGAAAGCAUGGGUAGCGAACAGGAUUAGAUACCCUGGUAGUCCAUGCCGUAAACGAUGAGUGCUAAGUGUUGGGAGGUUUCCGCCUCUCAGUGCUGCAGCUAACGCAUUAAGCACUCCGCCUGGGGAGUACGACCGCAAGGUUGAAACUCAAAGGAAUUGACGGGGGCCCGCACAAGCGGUGGAGCAUGUGGUUUAAUUCGACGCAACGCGAAGAACCUUACCAGGUCUUGACAUCUAGUGCAAUCUGUAGAGAUACGGAGUUCCCUUCGGGGACGCUAAGACAGGUGGUGCAUGGCUGUCGUCAGCUCGUGUCGUGAGAUGUUGGGUUAAGUCCCGCAACGAGCGCAACCCUUGUUAUUAGUUGCCAGCAUUAAGUUGGGCACUCUAAUGAGACUGCCGGUGACAAACCGGAGGAAGGUGGGGAUGACGUCAAGUCAUCAUGCCCCUUAUGACCUGGGCUACACACGUGCUACAAUGGGCAGUACAACGAGAAGCAAGCCUGCGAAG